ACCGGGGUGAUGUCGGGAAAGGACAUUUUCCUAUCGUUAAAGGACCGGGGUGAUGGAUGGAAAGGACAUUUUCCUGUAAUUAAAGGAUAAAGGGUCCGGUUAGCCCUGACCAUUAUCCGUUUCCAAUUCACCAACGCAAAGACGCUUGCCAGAUCCAUCAAAACUCCG